rnacentral:rRNA from 1 species
GACGAACGCUGGCGGCGUGCUUAACACAUGCAAGUCGAACGGAAAGGCCCUGCUUUUGUGGGGUGCUCGAGUGGCGAACGGGUGAGUAACACGUGAGUAACCUGCCCUUGACUUUGGGAUAACUUCAGGAAACUGGGGCUAAUACCGGAUAGGAGCUCCUGCUGCAUGGUGGGGGUUGGAAAGUUUCGGCGGUUGGGGAUGGACUCGCGGCUUAUCAGCUUGUUGGUGGGGUAGUGGCUUACCAAGGCUUUGACGGGUAGCCGGCCUGGGAGGGUGACCGGCCACAUUGGGACUGAGAUACGGCGCAGACGCCUACGGGAGGCAGCAGUGGGGAAUAUGGCACAAUGGGCGGAAGCCUGAUGCAGCAACGCCGCGUGCGGGAUGACGGCCUUCGGGUUGUAAACCGCUUUCGCCUGUGACGAAGCGUGAGUGACGGUAAUGGGUAAAGAAGCACCGGCUAACUACGUG